GGAAUACGAAGAAGAGUUACAGAGUGAGGAAUGACAAACACCUGAGUGAUCCUGAAGCUGUAAUCAGACAUUGAUGAGUUCUGCAAAACAAGCUUGACUAGCGCUUGGUGGAAGGACUGGAGCUGGGCAAAUUAGAGACAAAUUGAGAUGGUAGGCACAUGGAGCUCCAUUGAGUAACAUGGGCUGAGUUCUGCAGGCAAACAACUGGAAGAGUGGAGCCAGCUAACACAUACCAAGACGAACCAAUCUGAUCGUUUGGUGGAAAUGCACCACGAGAGGAUUGAGAGUGACUUACCCAUCAAAAACCUGCGCCGUCUGCUCUGGAUUGAGAAUGAGACAGGAGUGGUACCUCCUCAGCACGGCUACGAUACAC